GAAACUUAAAGGAAUUGGCGGGGGUGCACCACAAGGCGUGAAGCUUGCGGUUCAAUUGGAGUCAACGCCGGGAACCUUACCGGGGGCGACAGCAGUAUGAUGGCCAGAUUGAAGGUCUUGCUUGACAAGCUGAGAGGAGGUGCAUGGCCGUCGCCAGUUCGUGCCGUGAGGUGUCCUGUUAAGUCAGGCAACGAUCGAGACCCGCACCCCUAGUUGCUACUGAGGAAGUUUUCCGAGGGGCACUCUAGGGGGACUGCCGUCGACAAGACGGAGGAAGGAGCGGGCUACGGNAGGUCANUAUGCCCCGAAUCCCCCGGGCUACNCGCGNGCUGCNAUGG
rnacentral:rRNA from 1 species